AAGCGAACGUUAGCGGCGGGCUUAACACAUGCAAGUCGAAGCGAGAAAGGGGCUUCGGCCCUGAGUAAAGCGGCGGACGGGUGAGUAACACGUAGGUAAUCUUCCCUUGAGCGGGGGACAACGAAGCCGAAAGGCUCGCUAAUACCGCAUACGUUUCCAGAGGCCCCGGUCUUUGGAAGGAAAGCUAGGCCGCAAGGUCCGGCACUCGAGGAGGAGCCUGCGUCGCAUCAGCUAGUUGGUGGGGUAACGGCCUACCAAGGCGAAGACGCGUAGCUGGUCUGAGAGGAUGAUCAGCCACACUGGGACUGAGACACGGCCCAGACUCCUACGGGAGGCAGCAGUGGGGAAUAUUGGACAAUGGGCGCAAGCCUGAUCCAGCCACGCCGCGUGAGUGAUGAAGGCCUUCGGGUCGUAAAGCUCUGUGGGGAGGGACGAACCGCUGUUGGUUCAUAGCCAACAGCAUGACGGUACCUCCUUAGCAAGCACCGGCCUAACUUCGUGCCAGCAGCCGCGGUAAUACGAAGGGUGCAAACGUUGCUCGGAAUGAUGGGGCGUAAAGCGCACGUAGGCGGC
rnacentral:rRNA from 1 species